UGAACUUUUUAAUGUCACAUUCAAAAUAUAUAUAGAAAAUAUAUAAGUUUUUUCUGCGUCUAGCCCCGCAUAUCAUUCCUUAUUCCUUCACAUGUGUGUGUAUAUAUAUAUAUAUAUAUAUAUAUAUAUACAAGUCAACAGAAGGUUCAGACAAUUGAUCAUCACCAUUAAUUCAAAACACCUAGCUAAUAUUGUUGAAGAUGGAAGCCCUGACAUGCAAGAAAUGCAGACGAACCUCGUCGCUGCCAUCAAGUGCGCAGCGCAUCCGCUGCUACGGAUGCAAAACAGUCUACUCACUGAGCACCACCACCACCACCACUACCGACGCCGUACGCUACAAGGGCAGCACCACCGAUGAACGGAGCCUCGACUUGUCCAAGAACAAGACCGAAGCGAAGCUCUGCCGCAGCUUGCGGAGAAAACUACCCUUCACCAACCCGGCGCCGCAGCAGAGCCCGAGCCUCCCCGGCGCCAUCUCCCUCGACAACGAGGCCCACCGCGGGAGGCGAGCGCUCAUCUGCGGCGUGAGCUACAAGAAUCAGAAGCACGAGCUCAAGGGCAGCGCGCAGGAUGUGAAGAAGAUGAGCAGUCUGCUGCUCGACCACUACCAUUUUCCGGCAGAAUCCGUCCUCAUUCUGGCGGAGCAGGAGCCGUAUCUUCCCCCGACGAGGAGGCACAUCGAGGCGGGUUUCGAGUGGCUGAUGAGGGGCGUCCAGCGCGGGGAUUCCUUGGUCUUCUACUUCUCCGGGCACGGGAAGCGGCAGCGGGAGGUCGUGCGGGGCGACGAGAUCGACGGCUUCGACGAGACCAUCUGCCCCGUUGAUUUCGAGGAGAAUGGGAUGAUCGUCGAUAACUACAUCAACCGCGCCAUUGUUAGGCCGCUCGUGCCGGGCGUCACGCUUCAUGCCAUCAUCGAUUCUUGUCACAGUGGGACUAUUCUCGACUUACCACACGUUUAUGACAUUAAGGGAAAAUGGGAAGAUAAUAGUCCCCCUUCCGGAGCUUACAAAGGUACAAAAGGAGGAAAGGCGAUCUGCUUCAGCGCGUGUGAGGAUUAUCAACUGGCUGCAGAUACAACAGUCUUCUCAAAGUCGGAAAAGGAAAUGACUGGUGCCAUGACCAUAACAUUCAUACAAGCAAUCAAAAAAUCAGGGGAUAGGAAGGAGAAGAUAAGUUAUCAGGGUAUUAUGAAUUAUAUGCAUGAGAGCAUCAAGCAAGCUGGUAAAUCGGGAGGUUUCUUUGCUGGAAUACAUCGGAUAUUCCACCGGAGGAUCUUACAGGUACUUACUUAUAUUGUUGGAUUAAUUAUCUGUAUAUAUACAAAAUAUGAUUAAAUUUUGAUUUUGAACCAAAUGAAAAAUAUUGGUUUAAAAAUACUUAAACUUUAUAGAGGCAAUACUCUAUAGUAGACUAGUAGUCAAUGGCAUAUAGUAGUACUCUCUCUCUUCCAUAAAAGUGUGUAUGAUUGUUGGUAGUUCGAUGAAAGAAUGGAAAGCUCACACUUUUGUGGGAUGUACUAAAAAUGGCAAUGUGAAUAAAAUGUGGAAAUAGUGGUUAUUUUUGUGUUAAAAUUAUUUUAAUACCUUAAAAUGAUGACCAAAAUCCAAUAAUAUAGGCAUUAUCAUAAUAAUUUCAGCUUGCGAAUCAGACUCCAAAAAGUUAUGUUAUAAUUACCCAGCAAAAUUUGGCCUCGUGCCAAAUUCCAAAACUUACAUGGUACAUGUAUUUUUGGCCAAGAUUGUUUAUUUGGUUGAAAAAUAGAAUUUGGUUAUAGAUUAUGUAUUUACAUAUAAUUAUUUUCAUUUUGUGUUUAAUAUUUUCAAAUUAUUUUGCCUAAUUCUUAUAUGAUUUUGUAAUAAAAUGUUCAGGAUCCGCUGUUGUCGUCUUCUGAAGAUUUCGAUACCAGCACAGAGUUCAUGCUGUGAUGAUAAUGAGAUUGAAAUGUCAACAAAAAAUUAAACUAGCUUCUCAUAAGAUUCGUCUUCUUUAGGCAUGUUAAUUUCAUCUCCUUGUUUCAAGUGAUUAAUUUCUACUUUCCAUAUAGUAACAUUCAUAUCAAUAUAUUUAUAGACUAUUGAUUUUU